GCGGCCCUGGAGCUCUGCUGGUAUCCAGGGCUUGUCUGGGACACUGCAGGGACUGGGGAGAUUGAGUUGGACCUGCAGAGUUUUGUGGAGGGGACUGAGAGAGGGUUUUGCUCUCCUUCAUCCCUUGCUCUCCCAGUGAGGAAGGGACCCCAGUCUGUCUCUGCCCACACAGAUCCACAAGCUUUGGCCAUUGCUCACUCCAGCAUCCCACUGCUCCCAGUGCUCCCAUGUGUGACCAGCAGCCACUUCUUGAGCAGAUCUAAGACAAGAGAACCUGAUUUCCUUUCCUUUCCUUUCCUUUCCUUUCCUUUCCUUUCCUUUCCUUUCCUUUCCUUUCCUUUCCUUUCCUUUCCUUUCCUUUCCUUUCCUUUCCUUUCCUUUCUCUGUCUCCCUCCUCAAAUAUCUUUUCCCCCUUUUUUCCUGCUUUUCCUUGUCUCUCUCCUUUCCCCCUUUCCCCUUCCUUUCACGCUCCAUGUUCCCAACUCCCCAGGCAGCUGCAGGUGUGUGAGGUGCAGGCAGAGGUUGGGUCCAGGUGUCCAGAUGACCGAACAGGCCCCUCCAUCAUUCACAUCCUCACUCCUCCGUGCUUUCCAGCAUUGCUGGCACAGGGGGAAUAUUUUUGGUGCUUUCAGCCCCCCUGCCCCAGGGAGGGGGUGCAAUCUGCGAGGGACUUUGUGGUCAGAGUGUCCCCAGCACGAUUUGGCUGCGGAGCUGCCGGAGCAAAGGCUUUGCCUUAAUGAGCUGGUGCUGCUUUGCUCGUUAAUGAUGUGGAGCGGCGCCAUCAGCAGACAAUUAAGGAGUGUUGUCCCAGGCUCUAAUAAGGGCACAGAGAGAGCCGGCUGGGGGAUGCUGUGGGAUGCCAAGAGUGGGGGCACCCACCUGGGAGCAUCACUGACCCUCCCCAGCACCUCCCACAGCUCUUCCUCCUCCUCCUCCUCUUCCUCUUGUUCCCCCUCCCCAGAAGAGCCAAGAGUCACACAGGACAUUGUCCCCAUGGUGUCCCCACCCUUGGUGAGGACACGGGGCCGUGUGAUGCCUGCCUUCGCUUGUGCAAUGGCAUUUGUUCGCUAA
rnacentral:lncRNA from 1 species